rfam:Oryza meridionalis cultivar OR44 (W2112) chromosome 1, whole genome shotgun sequence.
AAUAAGCACAACCAUGAAUUUUCGUGUCCAACUUUGAUCGUUCGUCUUAUUUAAACUUUUUUUAUGAUUAGUAUUUUUGUUGUUAUUAGAUUAUAAAACAUGACUUAUGUAUUUUAGUUUUUUUAAAAAAUUUAAAUCAGACGGACGAUUAAAGUUAGAUACGGAAACUUAUAACUACGUUUAUU